AUGGAUAACAACAUUUUAAGUUGGAACAUUAGAGGGCUAAACAACCCUGCUAGACGGAAAGUUGUAGCAAAUUUUGUUCAGAAUCAUCAAUGCGGACUGGUCUGCAUCCAGGAGACCAAACUGAACGUCAUCAACAACCAAAUUAUUUCUGAGUGUUUGGGGAGUCGUUUUGUCAACAACUUUGCAUACCUCCCAGCUGAUGGUACCCGUGGCGGAAUCCUC
rnacentral:rRNA from 1 species